CCAGACUCCUACGGGAGGCAGCAGUGGGGAAUAUUGCACAAUGGGGGAAACCCUGAUGCAGCGACGCCGCGUGAGUGAAGAAGUAUCUCGGUAUGUAAAGCUCUAUCAGCAGGGAAGAAAAUGACGGUACCUGACUAAGAAGCCCCGGCUAACUACGUGCCAGCAGCCGCGGUAAUACGUAGGGGGCAAGCGUUAUCCGGAUUUACUGGGUGUAAAGGGGGCGCAGACGGCGAUGCAAGCCAGGAGUGAAAGCCCGGGGCCCAACCCCGGGACUGCUCUUGGAACUGCGUGGCUGGAGUGCAGGAGGGGCAGGCGGAAUUCCUGGUGUAGCGGUGAAAUGCGUAGAUAUCAGGAGGAACACCGGUGGCGAAGGCAGCAUGCCGGCUUCCGACUGACGCUGAAGCACGAAAGCGUGGGGAUCGAACAGGAUUAGAUACCCCCGUAA
rnacentral:rRNA from 1 species